AAUACUUAGGAAUCUACCUAUUAAUGGGGGACAACAUUUCGAAAGGAAUGCUAAUACCGCAUACGCCCUACGGGGGAAAGCAGGGGAUCUUCGGACCUUGCGUUAAUAGAUGAGCCUAAGUCGGAUUAGCUAGUUGGUGGGGUAAAGGCCUACCAAGGCGACGAUCUGUAGCGGGUCUGAGAGGAUGAUCCGCCACACUGGGACUGAGACACGGCCCAGACUCCUACGGGAGGCAGCAGUGGGGAAUAUUGGACAAUGGGGGGAACCCUGAUCCAGCCAUGCCGCGUGUGUGAAGAAGGCCUUUUGGUUGUAAAGCACUUUAAGCGAGGAGGAGGCUACUGGUACUAAUACUACCAGCUAGUGGACGUUACUCGCAGAAUAAGCACCGGCUAACUCUGUGCCAGCAGCCGCGGUAAUACAGAGGGUGCGAGCGUUAAUCGGAUUUACUGGGCGUAAAGCGUGCGUAGGUGGCCAAUUAAGUCAAAUGUGAAAUCCCCGAGCUUAACUUGGGAAUUGCAUUCGAUACUGGUUGGCUAGAGUAUGGGAGAGGAUGGGUAGAAUUCCAGGUGUAGCGGUGAAAUGCGUAGAGAUCUGGAGG
rnacentral:rRNA from 1 species